GAUGAAGAACGUAGCGAAAUGCGAUAAGUAAUGUGAAUUGCAGAAUUCAGUGAAUCAUCGAAUCUUUGAACGCAUCUUGCGCUCCUUGGUAUUCUGAGGAGCAUGCCUGUUUGAGUGUCAUUAAAUUCUCAACUACACUGACUUUGAAUUGGUGUGGCUUGGAUUUGGGGGGAAAAUUGUUGUGGGCUUUUUGUAUAGUCUGCUCCCCUGAAAUUGAUUAGCGGUACCUUUGUGGAACUGUCUACAGGUGUGAUAAUUAUCUACAUCUUAGACAUCUGCUGGAAUGCUGCUCUCUAAACCUUACUUGUAUUGACAAUCUUGACCUCAAAUCAGGUAGGACUACCCGAUGAACUUAAGCAUAUCAAUAAGCGGAGGA
rnacentral:misc_RNA from 1 species